rnacentral:rRNA from 1 species
AACGUCGGGUCCUCUCCGGCCUAACACAUGCAAGUCGAGCGAGACCUUCGGGUCUAGCGGCGGACGGGUUAGUAACGCGUGGGAACGUACCCUUCUCUGCGGAAUAGCCACUGGAAACGGUGAGUAAUACCGCAUACGCCCUUCGGGGGAAAGAUUUAUCGGAGAAGGAUCGGCCCGCGUUAGAUUAGAUAGUUGGUGGGGUAAUGGCCUACCAAGUCUACGAUCUAUAGCUGGUUUUAGAGGAUGAUCAGCAACACUGGGACUGAGACACGGCCCAGACUCCUACGGGAGGCAGCAGUGGGGAAUCUUAGACAAUGGGCGCAAGCCUGAUCUAGCCAUGCCGCGUGUGUGAUGAAGGUCUUAGGAUCGUAAAGCACUUUCGCCAGGGAUGAUAAUGACAGUACCUGGUAAAGAAACCCCGGCUAACUCCGUGCCAGCAGCCGCGGUAAUACGGAGGGGGUUAGCGUUGUUCGGAAUUACUGGGCGUAAAGCGUACGUAGGCGGAUCAGAAAGUAAGGGGUGAAAUCCCAGGGCUCAACCCUGGAACUGCCUCUUAAACUCCUGGUCUUGAGUUCGAGAGAGGUGAGUGGAAUUCCAAGUGUAGAGGUGAAAUUCGUAGAUAUUUGGAGGAACACCAGUGGCGAAGGCGGCUCACUGGCUCGAUACUGACGCUGAGGUACGAAAGUGUGGGGAGCAAACAGGAUUAGAUACCCUGGUAGUCCACACCGUAAACGAUGAAUGCCAGUCGUCGGGCAGUAUACUGUUCGGUGACACACCUAACGGAUUAAGCAUUCCGCCUGGGGAGUACGGU